rnacentral:rRNA from 1 species
GCCAGACUCCUACGGGAGGCAGCAGUGAGGAAUAUUGGUCAAUGGGCGCGAGCCUGAACCAGCCAAGUCGCGUGAGGGAAGACGGUCCUAUGGAUUGUAAACCUCUUUUGUCGGGGAGCAAAAGACGCCACGCGUGGCGUUCCGAGAGUACCCGAAGAAAAAGCAUCGGCUAACUCCGUGCCAGCAGCCGCGGUAAUACGUAGGGGGCAAGCGUUAUCCGGAUUUACUGGGUGUAAAGGGUGCGUAGGUGGCAGGGCAAGUCAGAUGUGAAAGCCCGGGGCCCAACCCCGGUACCGCAUUUGAAACUGUCCGGCUGGAGUGCAGGAGAGGUAAGCGGAAUUCCUAGUGUAGCGGUGAAAUGCGUAGAUAUACGGAGGAACACCAGUGGCGAAGGCGGAUUGCUGGACAGUAACUGACGCUGAGGCGCGAAAGCGUGGGGAGCAAACAGGAUUAGAUACCCUAGUAU